CCAAAUUCUUUUGCAUAUGAAGAUACAACAAAUGGUAGACCGAACAAUUUCAGAUUUCGAAUACCACAUCUACAAGACUUUACCUAAUUAAGCUACAUGGGGGAUCCACACCACAAGCUACAAGGUGACCUACACAUGGAAUGCUCCAUAAUCCAUAUUGGAAGUACUUUUAUAAUUGAAAGGGGGACGGUUUAACUCCGAACCGCAGAAUGUAGUUGCAAAAUUCCUGCAAUUUCAACUCAAAUUGAAUGUUCAAUGGACUGGAAGAGGCGAAAAGCUCAUCAACCCUCGACACAAAUCACAGUUUGAUAUCGAAGGAAUUGUUUGGUUGAUCAUGGUAGGAAAGAAGUUAUACUUCCGUAGAUUGACCCGAUUUUCCUUGGUUCUUUCUCAAAGUGAAGUGCAACAAUAAAGUCAAAAGGAGAAAGUCAACUGCUAUUUUAGAUACUUUACGUUAUCAGAGGAGUGGAACAUCAGGCUUUCAUUGGUUAGAAGUUGUCAAAACAGGGAAGCAGUCAGAGUUCCACCACACAAACACACCAAAUGUGCGUGGUUUUUCUUGUACUCCCCAUUUGGCGAAGGAUAAUAUAUGGAUGGCUCAUGGAUGGUGUUAGCCUUCGAAAAUCUUGGUCAACUCUUAAGGUUGUCCUGCAGAGCAUCUUUCAACCUUGGUGUUCUGUGAAAGCCAUUAUGCAAGUGUUUGGGAAUGACACAUCUUUUACAGACUCUGGUUCACCCAUAAGAUAUAUGUCAAGAGCUAUUAAGCAUAUUGCUCAAACAUUAAAUUCAUAAAAAAUCUGAAAAUUAUUUAUUUAUGAUUGCAUAUUUUGAAGUUGGAAAUACUUAAAUAUCUUUUAACACAGGGUAUUGGAGUGUGCAAGGCCUAAUUCUGCUGAGGAAAAACAUGAGUAUAUUAAUAGAUAAACUUGCGACACUUUAUACCAGGAUGCUCAUAGUCAAAUCUUUUAUGGAACUUUUAAAAGCAUGGUCCUGAUCGCAGGUCUUUUGGAAGAGAGACGAUGUUGCAUGUAUCACAGUGCUGGAAUGGUCGUGAUACUUUUUUGGGUCCUUUAGACAGCUCAAGAAACUUUCUAGUCAGGCUCUUGGCUUUCCAACUGAAAGUUAUUUUGAGGAUGCUGAAAGUAUCUUGGAUUUUGCGCCAACCUCGGUGCUGAACUGGCUGCUGUAUGCAGCCGCAAAAACUACCCAUAUGGUAACUUAUAAGCAAGAAAUCAGGAGAAAAUAAUGUGUGACCAUCACUACACGAUGACUUGUUCUUGUUUGAGGAAUUACGAAGUUGAUUAUUUUCCCUGAUUGCAAAUUUGCAAGAGCUCUCUAUUGUGUUAUACGUGCACUUCUCUCCUUUAUCCUCGCAAUUUUGUUGCAAAUAGUGGCAAUUCAUGAAGGUAUUUAGUAAUCUGUUUUCGCCUUCCUCUCCUUUACCCUCUGCUGUAAAUAGGAGCUAUUCACAAAGGUAUUGAUUAUUCUGAAUUUGCCUGGAGCUGUUCUUUUCUAGACUUGUUGAGCUCCAGGCUGCUUUACUUCAAAUGCAAUUGAGCAUUACAUAUGCUUAGUACUUGCAAUGCUGUUGUGUUCGAAGAUUCAACAAAGGUUGAGUAAAGAUUGACAUAGCUUUGUACUUACAAUGCUCAUCUUAAUGGUCGUUGUUUAAGUGACGUCUUUCUGUAGUUAUCUCAUAUUGUUAAGCUGUAUUUGAAGUCAAGUAGUAUGCAUUGUCUCUUGUAUUUGUUUU